rnacentral:rRNA from 1 species
UACAGGGGGUGCAAACGUUGCUCGGAAUCAUUGGGCGUAAAGCGCACGUAGGCGGUCUGUUAUGUCGGAUGUGAAAGCCCUUGGCUCAACUGAGGAAGUGCAUCCGAAACUGGCAGGCUAGAGUACUAAAGAGGAGAGUGGAAUUCCUGGUGUAGCGGUGGAAUGCGCAGAUAUCAGGAGGAACACCGGUGGCGAAGGCGGCCGCCUGGACAGUUACUGACGCUGAGACGCGAAAGCGUGGGGAGCAAACAGG